rnacentral:rRNA from 1 species
CCUACGGGAGGCAGCAGUGGGGAAUAUUGGGCAAUGGAGGAAACUCUGACCCAGCGACGCCGCGUGCGGGAUGAAGGCCUUCGGGUUGUAAACCGCUUUCAGCAGGGAAGAAGCGAAAGUGACGGUACCUGCAGAAGAAGCACCGGCUAACUAUGUGCCAGCAGCCGCGGUAAUACAUAGGGUGCAAGCGUUGUCCGGAAUUAUUGGGCGUAAAGAGCUCGUAGGUGGUUCGUCACGUCGGAUGUGAAAAUCUGGGGCUUAACCCCAGACCUGCAUUCGAUACGGGCGAGCUUGAGUAUGGUAGGGGAGUCUGGAAUUCCUGGUGUAGCGGUGGAAUGCGCAGAUAUCAGGAGGAACACCAAUGGCGAAGGCAGGACUCUGGGCCAUUACUGACACUGAGGAGCGAAAGCGUGGGGAGCGAACAGGAUUAGAUACCCUGGUAGUCCACGCCGUAAACGGUGGGCACUAGUUGUGGGGACCUUCCACGGUCUCUGCGACGCAGCUAACGCAUUAAGUGCCCCGCCUGGGGAGACGACCGCGAGAGUAAACUAACUAAGUAGUUAGUUAGUAGNGNGAGNGCGCGACGACGACGACGGAGGAGGAG